AUGGCAGGUCAGCAUACUGCCGUGAAUACGUUCCCGGGCCUUGUACACACCGCCCGUCACACCAUGAGAGUUGGGAAUACCCGAAGCCUGUGAGCUAACAUUAAGAGGCAGCAGUCGAAGGUAGAAUCAAUGAUUGGGGUGAAGUCGUAACAAGGUAUC
rnacentral:rRNA from 1 species